UCCUGAAAUACAUGUCAUGACCUGCAAUGGGGUUCCCCAUGACCAGGAUGGAAACGCAGCACUACGCGCUAUUUGAGGGCUGCAGUUCCUUAGAUGUUGUCCUGGGUUCUUUUUUGGCCUUCUGGAUGAGUCGUCGAUGCGCUCUAGGAGUAAUUUUGUGGCUGAUAUUUCAUUUACCAGCGGGGACUGAGGUGCUGCGACCCCCCCACCCCCCAUCCCAACACCAUCACCACCACCACCUCAACCGUUAUGUCUGUCAGUGGCUGGCCCCGACACUCCCCUGCAG